CAUCUCUCUUUCUCCGACAGACUCAAAACAGACCACCACCACCACCACCACCACCACCACUACCUAACGCUGUGUCCAGGCUGGAAUGUGUGACCUCUCUGCCAGGAAUGUCACCGUCCUCUCACACUCUGACACCAAGUACCUCACAACAACACCUGCAAUACUACGCCUCUGAGCCCCCCCGGAGCAGGAGAUAAGUGAGCCACUGAGAAAAGUGAGAUUCGACAACAAGAGGGCUGACUUUAGACAGACCGACCCUUCUUAUCGCUGCCACAUCACCAACAUGGGAGUAUCUCGUAUACCUGUCCAUAAGUGAGUGUGGCUACUGCGAGGCGCUGCUGGCCUUCACACUCCAUCCCCUGCGCCCUCCUGUCAUUACAUCGCCUUUCCAGCGAAGGCAUUACUGCGAUGGUUAUGCGGCUUUUGAGGGGAGUAGCAGCCGCCCAUCGCUGGGAAGGACGCGCCUCACCCUGGCGGCCCUGCUCGGUCCCUUCCACGACUCGCAGCGAGAGAGAGAGGUCGAGGUGCGGCGGUCUCGUGGCGGAAGCCUGAAGGAGGCGGUGAAGGAGUGAAGCCUCCGCCUUCCCUUCGCCUCCCGACCCUCUCUUCAGGUGCCGUCAAAUCCCAUCAGGGUCGUCGGGGCACCAAGGGACCAACGUGGUUCUUUCUCCUUCACGUUUGAGCUUCAGUACAUUUUUUUCCUUCCCUGAAGAAGCCGAGACGGAAUAAAGGGAACAAAGAAAUGGAGGAGGAGGAGGAGGAAGAGGAGAAGGAAGAAGAAGAGGAGGAGGAGGAGGACCACUACCACCACCACUACCACCACCAUUAGCAGCAGCAGCAAAAAAAGGAGCAAGAGACAAGAGAAAGGCAGGUUAAAAAAAAAAAAAACUACGUGGAAAAAUAACAGUGGAAGAAAGAAAAUGAGAGAUGGAGAGAUGGAGAUGCGGAGGAACAGGACGAGUCAUUGAGGAGUACAGGAAAUGAACGAGGCAGGGGAUUGAAAUGGAAUAAAACAAGACAGAAAAGUUAGCAAAGAAAAAGAAAAGCAAGGCGAGCGAGGGAGAGCAAGAAAUGAGUCAACAAUCGAUCUCAGCUCAGGAAUUGUGGGAGGGAGGCGAAGGGACUUAGUAGUGAGAGAGAGAGAGAGAGAGAGAGAGAGAGAGAGAGAGAGAGAGAGAGAGAGAGAGAGAGAGAGAGAGAGAGAGAGAGAGAGAGAGAGAGAGAGAGCAGGAAUAUACUUGUGUGCUUUUGCUUCUGUAUGUACUCGCACUAACUUGAAAAAAUAAAUAAAUAAAUAAUGGAAACAAAUAAAUAACUUACAAGAGAGAAAGAGAGAGAGAGAGAGAGAGUGGGGAGAGAGAACAGCAAACAUAUACGAACCAAGCAAAAACGAAGAAAAUGAGGCGGGCAGGUGUACAGUACUCAGUAAUCAAGGUGUGGAUUGUGGCAGCCAGGUAAGACGACCCACUCACAACACGUGGACUACUGAAUUACAAAGUGGAGGCAUUCCAGACCAGGUGUGUAGGAGACUGAGGUGAUGUGGCAGGUGUGUGUGGAAUUCAGGUUUAUACAAGAGGUCGUAUGUGUAAAAGGUGGAUGUGUGUAGGUGUGUGUGUUUGUUGUAGAGUAGCAAUGACUGAAUGCUGGUAAGCUGUUGUCAUCAUUAGUAACUUCCAUGGCUCUUUUGCAGAAGGA